rnacentral:tRNA from 2 species
GGGCGCAUAGCUCAGCUGGUUUAGAGCACCGCCCUUACAAGGCGGGGGUCACUGGUUCGAAUCCAGUUGCGCCUACAA